rnacentral:rRNA from 1 species
AUUGAACGCUGGCGGCAUGCCUUACACAUGCAAGUCGAACGGUAACAGGUCUCCGGAUGCUGACGAGUGGCGAACGGGUGAGUAAUACAUCGGAACGUGCCUAGUAGUGGGGGAUAACUACUCGAAAGAGUGGCUAAUACCGCAUGAGAUCUACGGAUGAAAGCAGGGGAUCGCAAGACCUUGUGCUACUAGAGCGGCCGAUGGCAGAUUAGGUAGUUGGUGGGAUAAAAGCUUACCAAGCCGACGAUCUGUAGCUGGUCUGAGGGGACGAUCAGCGAAACUGGGACUGGUAACCGGCCCAGACCCCUACGGGAGGCAGCAGUGGGUAAUUUUGGACAAUGGGCGCAAGCCUGAUCCAGCAAUGCCGCGUGCAGGAUGAAGGCCUUCGGGUUGUAAACUGCUUUUGUACGGAACGAAAAGCCCCGGGUUAAUACCCUGGGGUCAUGACGGUACCGUAAGAAUAAGCACCGGCUAACUACGUGCCAGCCGCCGCGGUAA